GAGAAUUGUGGUUGUACUGGUUUCUUUAUUUUAUUAAAUGAAUGCUACACUCUGUACACAACCAAUUUCACAAUUUUCCGUAAUCAGCUCUGCUUCUCGAAUUCUCUAAAGUUCACGACAUCUCCAAACCGAAACCCUUGCUCAACAUACCCAUCUCCAUUUUCCAUCUAUUCUCCACACACACCACUGAUUCUUUGUCCUCGCCAGCAGCCUGAUCCUUCUCAUCCUCGACGCCAGCUCCAUCUCCUCUCCUACACCCAGGUCGCGUGUUGCGAGUCCUGUUUCCAGCCUGAAAUUCUCAACAUCUCGACUCCAAUCGUGACAGCACCUUCAAUGCCUUGCCGUACUACUCGAAGCGGAGACUGAUCACUCCUUCACCGGAUUCACCAUCGAAUCAUUGGGCCGAAGACAGGGUUGAGCCUUCAAUUUCUGUUAUGCCAUUUCUGUUCAUCCUCGUGAAAAGUAAAUAAAUAAAAGGAGCUGGUGCACUUAUAACCAUUGGUGUGGCUUGUAUAUAAAUUGGGUAGUUAUUAAUAUGAACACUGUAAUAUACAUAUUUUAGAUGACUUCUGUAAUAUAAAUUUUUUAAAUUAUUUAAUAUACAUAUUUUAAAUGAA